rnacentral:lncRNA from 1 species
ACUCAUAAUGGUAGCAAAAUUAUAGUUAUGAGGUAGCGAUGAAAAUAAUUUUAUGGUUAGGGGGUCACCACGGCAUGAGGAACUGUAUUAAAGGGUCGCAGCAUCGGGAGGGUUGCGGACCACUGCUCGAAAGCAAGCCAAGAUUAUACAGGGAUCCCCCAGUGUAAGCACAGUGAGUGCAUUCCCCACACCCCAGAGCAAUCCAGAACUGAUAAUGCCGUUCUCCUGAUUCCCAGGGUUCCAGGUCUAUUCUGUCUGCCACAGACAAAUGGUACCGUUCACACACCGGCCACACUGUCUACGUGCUCGCCUCUAACCGGAAGGGAUCUCAUCUCAUGAUGCUGGACUUCAUCUUCAAAGCAAGGGGGCUUACAGUAAGCCCGAAUGAUUUCUACCCAUCCCUGAGGACUCCUGCCCCACCAAGCCAUCAAAUUGACUUCCCCCAGUUCUCGUAAGAGGAGGUACUCGAACAUCCCUGAGCCAGGCAGGUACCCCAAAUCCCUAUCCCUAUUAGAGCAACGUAGACCACAGGCCAAGUGUCAGCUACCAAGACAAGACACAGCUCUUUCUCCAAAACAGUAAGAGUUUGGUUUUUUUGUGCCAAAUAUGAGUGACCAGAACUCAGGAACACAGAUUCAGGUUGCUUCUGAACCAGUUUUCAAAGGGCUCGCGCUUUCAUGGUCUUUUUAUUGUAAUAGAACACAGAAAGUUAUAUGUUAACACAUUUUUUUUCCUAGCAACAUUGGUGAGAUCAUCAAGCAAGCAGGAUACACACAGCAAAGCAGAGAAAUGUCUUAUGUAGCUCUCAGCAACUGUCUAACAAUGUUCUUAGUCUUUAAGUUGGUAGAAGCUAGGGAAUCUAUGUUAAUAUAGUUCAUAAGCUGUACCUUAUAGAUGCAGGAUGUUAGGGCAGGCAUGGAGGUAAACUGUAAAUGGCUACGAAGGUGGUUAAAGAUAGCCUAAGAUAAUCGUGACCUUGGAUCUGCGCCAUUCCAACUCUCUGUCAGAAGGUCCUGAUCUCGUGUGAGGAGACUUCCGACACAGACGGCUGCUUUUAGGGAGCGUCGGUUCACACACAUAUCCACCCAUGCACAGUUGUAGCCUACACGGUGCAGAUGGAGCAUGAGGCCCUAAGUGAGCCUAUACUAAGAUGGACAGGGAUGGACCAAGAUGGUGGGGAGGGGCAGUCACAUGCAGCCUCUAAGAACCUCCAGUCUGGCACACAGAGGUGAGAGUCUGUUUUCCUUUGCCAGAAAGACAAACGCCAGGGUCCCCAGGGGAAGACCUGAGAGAGAGAAGCUCACAAUGGACAAAUAAGAGUUCUAAGGAAGCCCCAAAGGCUGGACAUCCUCUCCUGCACGUGUGCCUCACGUCCAAGCAGCGUCAUUUUGCAUCAGCAGCUGACCCCCUCCAGGAGCGGGUGCUGACAUCUAAUUGGCACUGAAAACGAUGAUCAUGACAACCACUUGAUGUUGCUGGAGGCUUUUGCCAUUUAUCUGGGAGUCUGGCUCACAUCACAUCUUCUUAAGAGCAGAGGACUCAUUAAUUACUCAUGGAGCACAAGUCAUUAUUGUCCUUAAUUGUCACAUUGAGGUUGCUGUUGGAAGUGUCGUUCUCUGUCAACAUGAAAUAGAUUUUUCCCUUCUGUAAUUUGCUUGGCACCAUUUUCCCUGUUCGUGGGUGGAAGCAUCGGCCAACAUUGCAGGACCCACCUGCCUGAUAAUUUAAGAGUUCAUCUUCCUGUUUGCCUUUGAUGUACCCUGGGAACAUGGCUCCCUAGUUUCCCUGGGAACACAUACCCUCACCUGGAUUCCAGCCUCACACCAUGGAGACGUGGCUCCAUGGCAGACCAAGGAAUUCUUCCUAUGAUCUGAGUGGGAUUGCAGGCUGCCUGUUGGAUAGAUGUCUCCAGAGCAUCCUUACAUUUCCGUCACUUGCUUUGCAGACAUGAGGUCCUGAGUUUGCCCCUAGGAGCCAUGGAAAAAGCUGGGUCUGAUAACGGGUUUAUAAUCACAGCCCUGAGGAGGCAGAGACAGGGGGACCCCCAGGUCCUGGACACCCAGCUGAACUUAACCAGUGAAUUCCAGGCCAGUGAGGGACCAUUUCCAAAAAAAAAAAAGUGAUGCUAGGCAUGGUGGCAAACCCCUUUAAUCACAGUGUUUGGGAGGCAGAGGCAGGCAGAUCUUUCUGAGUUUAAGACCAGCCUCUCCCUGUGAUGACAUAUUUUCCUGAAAAUAUCUUUUGCCUUAGAAGAGAAGAAACGUUUUCCAGAUCCCACAGCAAGUUUAUGAUAUGCCUUCCAAUCAUUGAAGACUAUGUACCUAGCCUGCUGUCCUACUGUGUGCUUGGCCUGUUUAACUUUGACUUACCUUUAAGAGAUAAUGUAGCUAACCCUCUUGCCUUGAAUUUUCCUCGGCUUCUAUGACCUAACCUACACUCAUAGCUGUGCAUCUGGCAAGUCAGGGAAGAACUAGGCGCCUGAUCUUGGAAUCUAAAGGUUGGAAGUCUACAGUCAUUCCCCCUCUGUACUCUGCCUCGCUGUGUGUCUUCAGGACACUUCUAUACUCUGUGAUUUUUGCACCUGGAGUCCUUUGUUUCUCUUUGUGAGAGAUCUCAGCGGGUGACCCUGAGUGUCCUGUAGUCAUCUUGCAACAGAGCCGCAAAGCCAGAAGACACAUGGGAAGAUCAGCUCUGAAAACUGUGCACUGCUGAGCUGGGGUUAGGGACUUGCAAUCUCCAGAGAUUGUCACAGGGAAAAGGAGACCUGCUAAACACAGGGAGGGCCCCAACAGUGACAGUGAAAGCUAAUAUUGACCAUGGCCAACAGCAGUGGCUGAGGUCUCAUUAUGGACUGGACCGGAUUACAGACCAAAAAGGUGGUAGGUGGAUUUCUGAGUUUGAGGCCAGCCUGGUCUACAAAGUGAGUUCCAGGACAGCCAGGGCUAUACAGAGAAACCCUGACUGGAAAAACCAAAAAAAAAAAAAAAAAAAAAAAAAAAAAAAGGUGGUGUUCAUGACUGUUCCGUCACGGUCCUAGCACAAACAACUUAAUGGAAUGAUGUUUUGUUUUGUUUUGUUUUGUUUUGUUUUGUUUUGUUUUGUUUUGUUUUAUUUUGAAUGGGGCUCACGGUGUCUCAGUCCACCAUGGUGGGAAUGGUAGCACAGUAGUACAGCAGAGCUCAUGGUGGCAGGAGGGUGUGAAGGAGACUCUUCACAUAGUAGCCAACAGUAAGUAGAGGGAGCUAAGUCAGCAACAAGAACAACUAUUAACAUAUCUUUCAAAAUGUCCUGGAUCCACUGGCCCAGCCUCUACAGCCUUCAAGACCACACCCAUUGGGGGGGAACCAGUGCCCUCUUCUGGCCUCGUUGGGUACUGCACUUACAUAUCUCGCAGUCAACCCACAUCAAGUAAAAUCUUUGAAAGAACCUUAAAAAUUACAUGUGUUCAUGUUAGGAGGAGGCAUAUGCCUGGAACAGCACUGUGGGAAAGGUCUGAGCACAACUUGUGGAAGUUGGUUCUCUCCUCCGCCAUGUGACUCAAACUUGGGCCAUCAGCCUGGGCAGCCAGUGUUACUAUCUCACCACCACCGCUCCUUAGGUUUUUUUUGUUUUGUUUUUACACCUUUUCUUUUUAAUUGGGGAGGGGGAAGUACCACAGCAAACCUAUGGAGAUAAAAAAAUACGUUUUGGGGACUUCGUUCCCUCCUCCCACCAUGUGGGAACUAGAGCUCAAACUCUACACAUUGGGUCUGGCAGCAAGCUAAGUCACCCCAGCAGCCCCUAUGUAAAAUUUCCCUAACCCACCAAGAUUAAACCUACAAGAUUACUGGUUACAAAGGAGUUUCUUUCAUUCACUGCUGGGACUCAGCCUGUGCACAUAAUCAUGGGAUAUUUGUGUGUUUCAUGGAGCUUUAAUCAAAGCCAUUUCUUGUGCCUCGGCUAAAAGACUGGCGAUUUCUUCUGGAAGACUGCAUUGUAGAAUUUUAAUAGUCACAUUUUAAUUCAACGUAGACAUCCUCCCCGAAUUUACAAGUGUCAUCAGCAAGCACUGUGGGAGCCUGACACUGUCUAAGGACUUCAUCCUGAUUGGAGGCACAGCAGGCAGGCGACAGGUACAGAAAGCCGCUUUCACUGCAAUGAGCAAGUAACUGGAGAGGUCAGCCGCGUCCUGUUGUUGCUGUUAUUUUAUUCAUUACGCAUUUAUACUUCUGAGUCCGUUUAUUUAUUCCUUGUUCCUCUGCAAAUAGAUGAAGGUGACGUUUGGUUCACUGAAAAUGCCCUUUUCCCCACAGCUUUGAAUGCCUGGAAAGGCUGCCCUUGCUGAAGGUGCAGCUUGUGGGGGAACCUUAUUCAGAAGCCAGAGGAGCCUCAUGAAUAAUCUGGACCUUUGUGACUCUCCAGAUGUAACUCAAGAUGCAGCAGGUGCUCCCUGGUGCUCCCCAACAACAGAGGACAGGCUUCCAGCUGAGUCCUCAGUCCUACAUAUACCCAGUGUCCUUUUCUCUCUUCUUGCCUUUGUCUGUCAUUCCUUGUUUCUGUGGGUCCUACCAGGAGCCCUGGUGAGCCUCUUUGAGGGGAUCUAUGCAGUGGCAUGAGCUUUCUAACUGCUUCUUCAGUGGAUUUCCUCUAGCCCUGGAGGAGGAGACCAAUGGUGGGCAGCCAUCCCCAGACGGACCAUUCACAUGAUCAGGCUGCCUGAUACUUGCAACUGAAUUCUGAGGCGGGUUAUGUGUCUGCCAUCUGUUCUGUGAGCUGAGCAACAGAGGAAGACAUGUGUCAGGGAAGAGGCUGGAGCUGCAUAUUCGGGGGGGGGGGAUGCGGCAAACAUACAGUGGAGGGGGCUGGGCUCCAUUGCUCAUCUUUCCAACC